rnacentral:lncRNA from 1 species
UCUGUCUCAAAAACAAAAACAAAAACAAAAAAAAACCCCAAAGCCUACGCUCAUAAAUUAUUUGGUAUACUGCUUCUCCUACUUUAAAAGUCAGUACUAAGCUCAUACUGGGUGUUAAUACAUUUUAAAACUGCAAAUCCAGUUUACUGAAAUUGGAGAAUAUCAGAUCCCCUUCCAAGAGAGGCAUAAUUGUAGCUUACUGGGUGAAUUCACCUUUUAUAUUGACAGUCUAGCCUUAUGAACCAAUUAAGUUUGUAGUUUCUGCAUUCUUCCUGUGACACUGAAGACUGUUUUCAUCAAUGUGAAAACCAUGUUAUCUAAGCUAAAUCAAAAUCCACUCUCAUUCAGAAUUUAUUCUUCCUUUUAUUUCUCAACACCAGUGACAUGUUCCCAAGUUCUCUGCCUUUGUGGCUCCUUAGUUUCCAGUGUGGAAUGUCUUAUUUCUGAAAGCAACCUGUGAUUGACAAGCCUUCUUGGCUAUUCUGUAGUUUACCCUAAAAAAAAUCUGUUCUCUCUGUCGGCUCAUUAGACUGCUUUUCCUUACAUGGUACUCUGCUUUUCCCCUUUAUUUCAAGCAUUUAUUAAAACUAAACUAUGUACCAAGCAUACACAAAAUGGAUAUAACCUAACUCUUUGAAGGCUACACUUCAAAGAAACAGCCUUGGUGUUUACAUAUUUUGACUAGAAUAUUAUUUCCCUAACAAGCUGCAUAAAACCAUUCCUGCUCAGUUUGUAAUUAUACACCAAAAUAUUGAGCACAAUUUCAGUAGCUACUUCUACAGCACAUCAUAUAAAGUGAAUUGCUGGAGCCAACUCAUUAGGUCUUAUUCCAAAGAUUUUUACCAACACUUUGGCCCUCUUUUGCUGACAAAAAAGGAUUCUUAAGCCUUUUAACAGCUUUAUAACUUCCUUAUUAGAGUUCACUCACUAACAUAUCCUGUUAACAAAAUGAAGUGCCCAUCCUUCUUGGGAAACACUCUGGAGAAUAUUUCCUGAUUUCAUCGCACAGCUUUGUCUCUGGAUUAGUAAUCAUCUAAUACGAAACUGAGGAUAUGAGUAUUAUGUUUCACAAUGUUGUCUUCAAGGAUAUAAACAACUCAAAAUUUAAGUAUUUGAGUAGCACUGUAUCACAUUAUUAUUGCCGUGAUAUUUUCAGAAGAAAUCUGAAGUCUGCGCUAACUACAGGCCAUAAAAUAUGGCCAUCUUGCCCCAAUAAAUGGAGCAAAGUUCAAAUCUGGAUCAUCAGAAAAAGACAAGAGGCACAUUUCUAAACCAAAUCUGAUUGCCUUGAGGAAGGAAGGUACUGAACCUGUUAGAGUACAUCUCUGAAGGACUGAGAAUCAAGUCCUUCAUUCCCUCGCCCCCUAAAAAAAUCCAAUCAAUCAUGCUGAUAAAUGUCUUAGUUACAGGGGAGAAAAAAUAGACAUGACUAAGCUGAAAAAAAUCUUCUGGCUUUGUAUCUUUUCUAGGCAGUGCUGUUCCUGAUAAGACACAUGACACAAAAUAUGGUUUUGCUGAGUAUCAAGUUUACUGAGGCUGCCUGGGAACUUGAGCUGUCAGCCAAACAGGAAGAAGGGCCCUUCUGCCUACUCCAAAAGGCCUCAGUCAAAUGGAUAUGUUUACUGAGGCUGCCUGGGAGCUGUCAGCCAAACAGGAAGAAGGGCCCUUCUGCCUAACUCCAAAAGGCCUAAGUCAAAUGGAUAUGGUGAGAUUUAAUGAUGGAUAUAAAUUACAGCAAAUGGAUUUCCUAUAGAGUGAGGGAAAAAAAAAAUCCAGCUACUCCGGAGACUGAGGCAGAAUUGCGAGAACCCGGCAGGUGGUUGC